rnacentral:rRNA from 1 species
UUACUGGGCGUAAGCGCGCGUAGGUGGCUUGAUAAGCCGGUUGUGAAAGCCCCGGGCUCAACCUGGGAACGGCAUCCGGAACUGUCAAGCUAGAGUGCAGGAGAGGAAGGUAGAAUUCCCGGUGUAGCGGUGAAAUGCGUAGAGAUCGGGAGGAAUACCAGUGGCGAAGGCGGCCCUCUGGACUGACACUGACACUGAGGUGCGAAAGCGUGGGUAGCAAACAGGAUUAGAUACCCUGGUAGUCCACGCCGUAAACGAUGUCGACCAGCCGUUGGGUGCCUAGCGCACUUUGUGGCGAAGUUAACGCGAUAAGUCGACCGCCUGGGGGAGUACGGCCGCAAGGUUAAAACUCAAAUGAAUUGACGGGGGCCCGCACAAGCGGUGGGGGCAUGUGGUUUAAUUCGAUGCAACGCGAAGAAACCUUACCUACUCUUGACAUCCUGCCGAACUUGUGAGGAGAUCACCUUGGUGCCCUCGGGAACGCAGAAGAACAGGUGGCUGGCAUGGCUGUUCCGUCCAGCCUUCGUGUUUGUGAAAUUUGUGGUUUAAGUCCCGGUAACCGAAGCGCCAACCCUUGUUCUUUUAUUGCCAGCGCGUUAAUGGGCGGGAACUCUCUAAGGGAGAACCUGCCCGGUGACCAACCCGAGAGAGGGUGGGACGACCUCCAGUUCCUUCAUGGGCCCUUUACGAAGUAGGUUAC